GAUAUUUGACUUUUGAAACUUACAUACGUAACACGGCUUUCUUGCCACAGUUCACCAUUACGUUCCCAUAGUAAGAGGCUACGGUUUUAUUUUUCGAUGCGACGAAUUGGCUUGCCUUGAAUUAAAUGAUUAUUUUUUCAACGAUUCGAAAUAAGAACCGGCCGUCGAUAUACACUUACCUGAUAUAAAUAAUUCAUUCGCUCGAAAACGUCUUUUCCUUGGCAAAGCUUCACUUCCGUUUCUGAUAUAAAACCAGGUUAUGCUGUGUUUGGUUAUUCAGUUGAGUAUGAAUUUGAAACAGAAGUAUGACUGAUAUUUUUCACUGACAAACAUUUCUUUGGUGGAAUAUACAGUUCUGAUACGAAGACUGUUGUGUAUCAUACUUUCUUCUUUAUUUAGGUUAUGUUUGUAAUUCUUGAUUUAUAAUUGAUAGGUAGGUUAUGAUAUAGUGUUGGACAAGAAGUUUCUGUGAAAGAACUGAAGUGCAAUUGAUUACUAGGGAGUGUAUUUCGUACAUCUAUUGCAACUACUUUAAGCACUAUAAACAUUGUUGUGUCUUUUUUCUGUAAUGUAUCUGAUACACAUACAACAUUGUGCACAGCACUUGCAGUGAAUUAAAAAACACAUUCUAGGUCUGUCUCAUAUGAAUAGAUUAGGUACUGAAUGUUUUAAAAAAGAAUGACGUUUAGGAAUCAAUAUUCAUUGUUAAAGUAGUAUAUUACUGUACAUUAUAUAAGUAUAAGAGUGAAUAUAAAUAACAUUAAAUAUAA